UACAGAGGUCUCAAGCGUUGUUCGGAUUUAUUGGGCGUAAAGGGCGCGUAGGCGGCGGGGUAAGUCGGGUGUGAAAUCUCAGGGCUCAACCCUGAAACUGCACUUGAUACUGCUCUGCUUGAGGACUGGAGAGGAGACUGGAAUUCACGGUGUAGCAGUGAAAUGCGUAGAUAUCGUAAGGAAGACCAGUGGCGAAGGCGGGGCUCUGGACAGUUCCUGACGCUGAGGCACGAAGGUCAGGGGAGCAAACGGG
rnacentral:rRNA from 1 species